GGGGUUGCAGCUCAGUGGUAGAGUGCUUGCCUUGCAUGCACGAGGCACUGGGUUUGAUUCUCAGCACCA
rnacentral:tRNA from 1 species